UACGAAGGGGGCUAGCGUUGCUCGGAAUUACUGGGCGUAAAGCGCACGUAGGCGGUCUUUUAAGUCGGGGGUGAAAUCCUGGAGCUCAACUCCAGAACUGCCUUCGAUACUGGAAGACUUGAGUCCGGGAGAGGUGAGUGGAACUGCGAGUGUAGAGGUGAAAUUCGUAGAUAUUCGCAAGAACACCAGUGGUGAAGGCGGCUCACUGGCCCGGUACUGACGCUGAGGUGCGAAAGCGUGGGGAGCAAACAGG
rnacentral:rRNA from 1 species